rnacentral:sRNA from 1 species
GUAAAGAUGGAUUAGAAGUGUUUAAAAUAACACUUAUACCCAUUUUCUCCCC